rnacentral:rRNA from 1 species
AUUGAACGCUGGCGGCAGGCCUAACACAUGCAAGUCGAGCGGAUGAAGGGAGCUUGCUCCUGGAUUCAGCGGCGGACGGGUGUGUAAUGCCUAUGAAUCUGCCUGGUAGUGGGGGAUAACGUCCGGAAACGGGCGCUAAUACCGCAUACGUCCUGAGGGAGAAAGUGGGGGAUCUUCGGACCUCACGCUAUCAGAUGAGCCUAGGUCGGAUUAGCUAGUUGGUGGGGUAAAGGCCUACCAAGGCGACGAUCCGUAACUGGUCUGAGAGGAUGAUCAGUCACACUGGAAUUGAGACACGGUCCAGACUCCUACGGGAGGCAGCAGUGGGGAAUAUUGGACAAUGGGCGAAAGCCUGAUCCAGCCAUGCCGCGUGUGUGAAGAAGGUCUUCGGAUUGUAAAGCACUUUAAGUUGGGAGGAAGGGCAGUAAGUUAAUACCUUGCUGUUUUGACGUUACCAACAGAAUAAGCACCGGCUAACUUCGUG